ACAGGUGUGGUGGAGGUGACUCUGGACGUACUAGUUUGAAGCGUGCUUGUUGCUGGAGUGGUGGUGCUUGUUGCUGUGGGGCUGGCAGUGGUGGUUUUGGUGGUUGUAGCAGGAGAUGGUGUAGCAGUCGUAGGUGGGGUGGUUGUAGCAGGAGAUGGUCUAGCAGUCGUAGGUGGGGUGGUUGUAGCAGGAGAUGGUGUAGCAGUCGUAGGUGGGGUGGUUGUAGCAGGAGAUGGUGUAGCAGUCGUAGGUGGGGUGGUUGUAGCAGGAGAUGCUGUAGCAGUCGUAGGUGGGGUGGUUGUAGCAGGAGAUGCUGUAGCAGUCGUAGGUGGGGUGGUUGUAGCAGGAGAUGCUGUAGCAGUCGUAGGUGGGGUGGUUGUAGCAGGAGAUGCUGUAGCAGUCGUAGGUGGGGUGGUUGUUGCGGACGUUGUUAUGAUGCUCGUGGUGGUUGUAGUAUCUGCAGUUGUAACUGGGAAACUAUCACCGGAAGUGGUGGGUGGUGUGGUUUUGGUGACUGUGGUAUGAGAUGGUGACAUGGAUGUAGGUGUAGUUGCUGAUGUUGUUAUGAAUAGUAUGGGUGCAGUCUCAGUGGUUGUGGUGGGGGUGGUGGUACUGGCAGUGGUAGGUGUGGUUUUGACGGCUGUGGUUAGAGACGGCUUCGUGGCUGUGGGUAUGGGUAUGGUUCCUGCAGUUGUAGCGGGAGUGGAGGCACCAGUGGACGUUUGGAUGGUAUGUGUCAAGCUGGCUGUUCUAGCUGGCGGAGGGAUGGUUGUGUGUGUAGUUGCUGGUGUUGUUAUGGGUGGUGCGACUGUAGUCUCUGCGGUUGUGACAGGGGUGGUGCUACUGGCGGCUGUAGGAGAUGUGGUUUUGAUGGCUGUGGUUGGAGCAGGUGCUGUUAUGCUGCUCCGAGAGGGUGUGGUUACAGCAGCGGUGGUGCUGAUGUUUGUUGUACUCGUUUGUGGGACUGAUGGAGCUGAGGUGCUACUUGCAGUGACUGCAUCACCUGUUGGUGCUGUUGAUAAUACUCCUUGAGUCAGACUCUCUGAGAUGUUUGGAUGAAGGGUGGAGUCUGUGUGUGUGGGUGGGGUCUGGCCGUGAGUCCUGGGUGGUCUAUGUGUGCUGGUGCUGGAUGCAGACGGUGGAGGAGUGGUGGUGGUGGGUGCAGCUGAGGCGGUGCUGUCUGAGGAUGCUGCAGAUGUUUGGUGUGUGGAUCCAUCCUCAGGUUGUAACUCAGUUAUGACGUCUGUUGCUCCACCUGUGCUCACACGUGAGGAACCCAGCGUCAUGCCUUCACCUCCGCUCGACUUGGACUGGUUUCUAGUGAUGGAGGACCAUGACUUGUACGACGACGUGACCACCUCCGUCCUGACUAGGGAGUCACCUCCACCUGACGAGGUCUCCGAGGCGAGUGACUGGUCGGUGGUAAAAGCAGCUGUGCCAUUUAAAGGGGAUAGGUGGGUGACUGCAGGGGAAACAUCUGGAGGUGACAGAUUGUCCGUGACAGCGUUCCCAGGACGCCUGAUGGUUUGGGCGGAGUUAGACAGGUCCAGCGGUGUGGAUGAAGAAAAGGUGGAGGUGGCUGGAGAUGUGU
ensembl:lncRNA